GGAUGUGAGGGCAAUCUGGCUGCGACGUCUGUCACCUCAUUGAUCGCCAGAGUUGAUUCACUGAUCUGGCUGGCUAGGCAGAUGUCCCCUUCCUUUUUCACCACUCCAUGUGCAUUCUUCCUGAAGCUGCAUGCUUGGUCAGAGAGGAAGAUCACCCCUGAUAGAGGAGGACCAUUUCUUCAGUCAAGGGUAUACAAGUAGCUGUGCUCCCCUGCUAAAAAUAAUACAAAACAUGAAUACAAAACCUCCAAACAAGUUCUCAAGAAAGUCAUGACCACCAAACCAGCACUCCAAAACAUU
rnacentral:snRNA from 1 species